rnacentral:misc_RNA from 1 species
CAGAAAUAUAUGUAAUGUAAGUGGGCUCAAAAUAUAGGCUGUUUUGACAAGGCUUUUACCAAGAAUUGCUUUCUUUCCUCCAACUUUUAUCCCUCUCCUUUAGACGAGUACUACUUUGUUUGGUAGCGGUCCUAGAGAAGUUGAUUGAUUGGGUAGAGAAGAAAGAAGCUGAAAUAAAAACAGAAGCUUUGAUCAAAACAAACCACACCGAUCGAAUAACAGAAAAAAACAUUUUCUCAACCAUGGAGCCAAAUGAUAGCAGUAUCAUGCAUUCUCAUUGCCUAGAAAUAGCACCUAUGGAGGUGCACAAAGUAAUCCCACCACCCCAUAAGAGCACACUACAGAAGCUCAAGACGAGACUUAAAGAAACCUUCUUCCCUGAUGACCCUUUGCGCCAAUUCAAAGGACAGCCAUUAAACAAGAAAUGGAUUCUUGCUGCUCAGUAUGUUUUCCCUAUUCUUCAAUGGGGUCCUAAUUAUAGCCUCAAGCUCUUCAAAUCUGAUAUUGUUUCUGGCCUCACCAUUGCCAGCUUAGCCAUUCCACAGGGCAUCAGUUAUGCCAAUCUUGCCAGUUUACCUCCUAUAGUGGGUCUCUAUUCAAGCUUUGUUCCUCCUCUCGUUUAUGCCGUUCUUGGAAGCUCCAGAGAUCUUGCAGUAGGACCUGUUUCUAUUGCUUCUCUUAUACUUGGAUCAAUGCUUAUGCAAGAAGUAUCUCCAACCAACGACCCUGUCUUGUUUCUUCAAUUAGCUUUUUCUUCAACUUUUUUUGCCGGUCUCUUCCAAGCUUCCUUAGGAUUGUUAAGGCUGGGAUUCAUUAUUGAUUUCCUUUCAGAGGCCAUUCUGAUUGGAUUCAUGGCUGGAGCUGCAGUUAUUGUCUCUCUGCAACAGCUUAAAAGCCUUCUUGGAAUUACUCAUUUUACAAAACAAAUGGGUCUGGUUCCUGUUCUGAGCUCUGCUUUCCACAACACCCAUGAGUGGUCAUGGCAUACAAUACUAAUGGGGUUUUGCUUCCUUGUGCUCCUUCUAGUGGCCAGACACGUUAGCAUGAGAAAACCAAAGCUGUUUUGGGUUUCAGCUGGGGCCCCUAUUGUGUCUGUGAUUCUGUCUACCAUCCUUGUUUUCGCAUUCAAGGCUCAACAUCAUGGGAUUAGCAUUGUAAGUUGAUUUCUCGGAGUCUACUCAUUGUUACUUACAGUAUUGUGAGUUCUUGGAGGAAUUAAUGGAUUAUUUAGUGAUGUGGGCAAGAAUGAUAUACUUUAAUGUUAACCUCAUAAAAUGUUUAAUUAUAUCUGUAAUUGAUGAGUUUAAUUUGGUUUGUUAUUAGAUAGGAAAAUUAGAAGAGGGAUUAAAUCCUCCAUCAUGGAACAUGUUGCAUUUUCAUGGAAGCCACCUUGGACUAGUCAUGAAAACUGGCCUUGUUACUGGCAUUAUCUCCCUCACUGUGAGUUUCUGUCACCUUUUUCAGCUUAAUAUUUAGCUAUGAGGUGGCUUGGAAGAUGCAGCAGUGAAACUAUAUUUGCAAAUGUUGCCUAUUAUUGAACUUUAUUUCAAACAGGAAGGCAUAGCAGUGGGAAGGACUUUUGCUGCUUUAAAAAACUACCAAGUGGAUGGUAACAAGGAAAUGAUGGCAAUUGGGCUAAUGAACAUAAUUGGCUCCUCCACUUCCUGCUAUGUUACAACAGGUGCACAUCUAUUCUAUUCGGCCUUUCUUGUUUUCCUCUGAUGCAGAUAAGCAAGACUAGGCUGAUAAAUAAUAAAUAAUAAUAAUAAGAUGCAACAUCUUAAGUAUUUUUAAUAGAAAUUUGAAUUUCAGGUGCUUUCUCGCGGUCUGCUGUUAAUCACAAUGCAGGAGCUAAAACAGCAGCGUCUAACAUUAUAAUGUCAGUAACAGUGAUGGUUACUCUACUCUUCCUAAUGCCUUUAUUUCAAUACACACCAAAUGUUGUAUUGGGUGCCAUCAUAGUAACAGCAGUAGUUGGCCUCAUAGAUAUCCCAACUGCUUACCAGAUUUGGAAGAUUGACAAAUAUGAUUUCAUCGUUUUGUUAUGCGCAUUCUUUGGUGUUAUUUUCAUAUCUGUUCAAGAAGGCCUCGCUAUUGCGGUAGGAAUAUCUAUGUUCAAGAUCCUCCUGCAAGUUACAAGGCCAAAGACAGUGAUCUUGGGAAGCAUACCAGGGACAGAGAUAUACCGUAAUCUUCAUCAUUACAAGGAAGCCGUGAUGGUUCCUGGCUUCCUCAUUUUAAGCGUUGAAGCCCCUAUCAAUUUUGCUAAUACGAAUUACCUCAAAGAAAGGAUUCUGAGAUGGAUAGAAGAAUAUGAAACACAAGAAGAUGCAAAGAAACAAUCAAGUAUCCAUUUUCUGAUCCUUGACCUGUCAGCUGUGAGUGCCAUUGACACAACAGGAGUCUCACUCUUCAAGGAUUUGAAGAAAGCAACAGAAAAUAGGGGAGUAGAGCUUGUGCUAGUGAAUCCUCUGGGGGAGGUAAUGGAGAAGCUGCAACGGGCCGAUGCAGCACAUGACAUCUUGAAGCCAGAUACCCUUUUCUUGACAGUUGGUGAAGCUGUGGCUGCACUCUCAUCUACAAUGAAGGCUCAAUCAUCAAGCCAAGGAUAAAUCAAAUUCUUCAUUUGAUAAAACAAGAGAUAAAAUAGAAAAUCAAAUGUAUCAUGAUAGUAGUAUAUAAGCAUUCUGUCCUACAACUUCUGCUGUAACUUCACAAGUUUACCAGGCAAGUUAUUAGCUAUUUGUUCAUGUAGCCUGCAAAAAGACUAAUAAGAGGUCAACAGUACUUCUUCUAUCUACCAUAUUUGUGUUCUCUUCCUCACUCCUGAGAUGUAUUCAAUAUAAGGAGUUCUGUUGGGCAAGCUGAGAUGUUUAUCGAUUAACUGUUUUAACGACUGAGGUUAGUCGUAAUUUUAUAAUUUUAAAAAUAUUAAAUAAAUAUAAAAAUAUUCCACUUGGAAAAUGGCUUACAGUGAAGCCGCGGUUCCAUGUAAUCACCAAUGUGCUGAAUAAUGUCUCUACAUACGGACGCAUAAGAAGAGUAAUUAAUUGUAUAAUUUCUCGUCGGUGGACAGCUGAUUCGGACCUUCGAAAGUGUCCAAAUUCUGGUCUGUGCGACGGGCCAAUGGGAAAGAGCAAGAAGCCCGACCCUCCUAGCUUGCAAAAAUAC